CUAUUCAGUGGUUUGUUAUCCUAACUCACUGACUAGUUCUCAAACUUGAGCUUGCACCAGAAUCACCUGGGGGGCUUAUGAAACUGCAGAUUCCUGGGUCUCCUUCCCAGAGCAUCUCAUUCAGCAGAUCUGAAAGGAGGCCUAAGAAUUUGAAUUUCUAACGAAUUCCCAGGUAAUUCUGUGAUUUCCCAAUUCUGGUGAUUCAAUGGAACUCAUAAAAGAUAGAUCAAAUCAGAAAGCCGUGUGCAUUAAAAGGAGUUUUAAAAAAGGAAACUCUGCAUGUCUAAAGUUAAGCUGAAGCAUGACUACUGCAUUGGAGAAACCGUUCAAGAUCAGUUCAUCCCGGUGAAAAUAUUACUUCUGUAGCUAUGCCAAGAGACGAGUAACGAAGUGCUUACUGUGCAGGAAUUUACUCCAGAAGACUCCAGACCAUCCGCUGACAUUUCACAGUUUAAUCCCGGCUUCGGUUUCACAACUGGUGCUCAAAGCAGAAGAGGCGCACUGCGCCGUGCGAAUAGACAUUUAGAGCCUUUCAUGAUAUUCUCCCAGAUGAAAAGCCCUCAGCUUCACCUCAGCAUCCUGAACGACCAAUUGUCAAGGCCUCACUCAACUGAAAGGAAGACUGAACUGGAGGGGAUUCAAUACAAUUUUAUCUGGAUUGAUGUGAUCUGGGGGUCUUUUGCUUGUUUUGGGAAAGGUUUGCUUUUGGGUGUUUU
rnacentral:lncRNA from 1 species